rnacentral:piRNA from 1 species
UGAGCUUCCUGUCGCAUCUACCAUGAUGU